rnacentral:rRNA from 1 species
AACGAACGCUGGCGGCAGGCUUAACACAUGCAAGUCGAGCGCCCCGCAAGGGGAGCGGCAGACGGGUGAGUAACGCGUGGGAAUCUACCCAUCUCUACGGAAUAACGCAUGGAAACGUGUGCUAAUACCGUAUACGUCCUUCGGGAGAAAGAUUUAUCGGAGAUGGAUGAGCCCGCGUUGGAUUAGCUAGUUGGUGGGGUAAAGGCCUACCAAGGCGACGAUCCAUAGCUGGGCUGAGAGGAUGAUCAGCCACACUGGGACUGAGACACGGCCCAGACUCCUACGGGAGGUAGCAGUGGAGAAUAUUGGACAAUGGGCGCAAGCCUGAUCCAGCCAUGCCGCGUGAGUGAUGAAGGCCCUAGGGUUGUAAAGCUCUUUCACCGGUGAAGAUAAUGACGGUAACCGGAGAAGAAGCCCCGGCUAACUUCGUGCCAGCCGCCGCCGUAACAC